rnacentral:tRNA from 1 species
CAAAGAUUAGCUCAGUGGUAGAGCACAUGCUUUGCAUGUAUGAGACCCUGGGUUCACCCCAUGACAUCCUUCA